rnacentral:rRNA from 1 species
CUGCCGCCGGCGACCGGCGCACGGGUGAGUAACACGUAUGCAACCUGGCCGUGACAGAUGGAUAACCGGGAGAAAUCCCGCCUAAUACAACAUAAUGCCGGGAGGGGACAUCCCCUGCCGGCCAAAGGGGGCGACCCCGGUCACGGAUGGGCAUGCGGCGCAUUAGGUAGUUGGCGGGGCAACGGCCCACCAAGCCGACGAUGCGUAGGGGUUCUGAGAGGAAGGUCCCCCACAUUGGAACUGAGACACGGUCCAAACUCCUACGGGAGGCAGCAG